GACGAACGCUGGCGGCGUGCCUAAUACAUGCAAGUAGAACGCACAGUUUAUACCGUAGCUUGCUACACCAUAGACUGUGAGUUGCGAACGGGUGAGUAACGCGUAGGUAACCUGCCUGGUAGCGGGGGAUAACCAUUGGAAACGAUAGCUAAUACCGCAUAAUAUUAAUUAUUGCAUGAUAAUUAAUUGAAAGGUGCAAUUGCACCACUACCAGAUGGACCUGCGUUGUAUUAGCUAGUAGGUGAGGUAACGGCUCACCUAGGCGACGAUACAUAGCCGACCUGAGAGGGUGAUCGGCCACACUGGGACUGAGACACGGCCCAGACUCCUACGGGAGGCAGCAGUAGGGAAUCUUCGGCAAUGGACGAAAGUCUGACCGAGCAACGCCGCGUGAGUGAAGAAGGGUUUCGGAUCGUAAAGCUCUGUUGUAAGAGAAGAACGGGUGUGAGAGUGGAAAGUUCACACUGUGACGGUAUCUUACCAGAAAGGGACGGCUAACUACGUG
rnacentral:rRNA from 1 species